CUACGGGCGGCUCCAGUGAGGAAUAUUGCACAAUGGGGGGAACCCUGAUGCAGCAACGCCGCGUGGAGGAUGACGCAUUUCGGUGUGUAGACUCCUUUUAUAUGUCAAGAAAAUGACGGUAGCAUAUGAAUAAGCACCGGCUAACUCCGUGCCAGCAGCCGCGGUAAUACGGAGUGUGCAAGCGUUACUCGGAAUCACUGGGCGUAAAGGACGCGUAGGCGGGUUGGAAAGUCAGGUGUGAAAUCCUACAGCUUAACUGUAGAACUGCACUUGAAACUUCUAAUCUAGAGUAUGGGAGGGGGAGAUGGAAUUAGUGGUGUAGGGGUAAAAUCCGUAGAUAUCACUAGGAAUACCUAAAGCGAAGGCGAUCUCCUGGAACAUUACUGACGCUAAGGCGUGAAAGCGUGGGGAGCAAACAGGAUUAGAUACCCUAGUAGUC
rnacentral:rRNA from 1 species